rnacentral:lncRNA from 1 species
GCUUGAGGCUUGACCAGGUCUGGGAAAGGCAGAGAUACUAACUUGAUCUUCCCAGGUGGGAAUAGCUCAUACAGGGACGGAGAUGGAUUCUCCUUGUGAGCACUUCUCUCUGGUCUCUGAGCAUUGCCUAGGGUUUUAGCAGGCCCUCGGCCAUCACAUGGCACAUCCAGCAGUGAUGUGGUGGCUGGGCCUGUGCUGGGAUCUUUGUUGCUGCUCAAGUUUAGCAGAGCCUGGGAGGAGCUGAUGCCCAUUUUCUUGUCACUCUUCUUUCCCAGUGGGUGAAAGACCUGCACUGCCUCCAGCAUGUGCAUGCCGAGGUGAGUAUGAGGCUUUUUAAAGCUGCCCUGGCUGAGCUCAAGUGGAUUCCUCUUCUUCUUGGUCUUGGGGAUGCUGAGCUUGUCUUCUACAUUGACUCAGGGGCAAGAUGACUUCAGCUGCCUAGUUUUCUUGUUUUUUUUCCCUCUGGUUUUCUUGGUCUUGUCUUGGCCCUGUGUCCUAGAUAUCCUGGGCCUGCUGUGUGCAGAUUUCUGAGCUGUGCCAUCCAAGUGCUUGACCAUGUUGUCAAUAGCCCCUUCACUGGCUGUAGCAAUGCCCAAAGCAUCUUCUCCCUCCAACAGGAUCUGGCACUGGAUUCUGGCCUGAGGAACUCCAUGAAGCAGAUCAGAGUCUUUCUGGUCUUUCUUAUUUUCCUCUUUGAAUGUGAAGAUGCUUCUGCUGGAGCUUUCCUGGGCCUGAUCACUCCUGAAGACUCCAAAGUCUGUGGAUUGUGUUGCCGUGAGAUCUUCCAAUUGGAUUAAGUCAGUAAUGGAGUUUAAGAGUUGGGGAAGGCUUGGAGCAGGAGUCAAUGUCAUGAAUUGUGAAGCACUUUGGAUGGGAGCAGUCAAUGAUCUGUCCCCAAAGACAGGUGGUGUCUUCAUCUGCACAUCCUGUGUGCAGGCAUUGCAGAGCUCUGGACUCUGCAGCCGACAGAUUGUCUGGCCUGGAGGUGUCAAUCCCAGGGAUGUCUCCAUUUCCACUACUUAAAAAAGAGUGAAGGAAGAAGACAGUGUCUGGUGAGUGAGAUGCUCCUCUCCUUGGAGUGCCCCUACAGCAUUGGGGCAGGGUUUCCUAUAGCUCUGCUUUAGU